rnacentral:lncRNA from 1 species
CUGUUAACUAGAAUACACAUCAUGUCCUAAAAGUUCAGCAAUCCAUCAGUAGAGACUCAAAAUUCUAAAUUUACUCUCUAUUCUGCACCCUUUAUGAGAGCUGCUAGGGUGGAAUUGGUGGCUUGGGCUUCGUUUAUUCUCUGGAUCAAUUUGAGUUGGACAGUCAGGUGGACCAAACAUGCAACUCUCUUCAAAUCCUGAAAUCGUAUAUGUUAUGCAGCUAAUAUUACCCUGCAUUCAGAAACUAUUAGGUGAGCUAACAUACCUACACAUUUUCUGCUGAGUGCGUCGGUUACCACAUUGCAUUUGUCUGGAUGAUACAAAAUAUUACAAUUGUAGUCCUUUAGAAACUCUAUCUAACACCUUUGAUGCAUGUUAAGAUUUUUCUAAAUGAAUAUGUG